rnacentral:hammerhead_ribozyme from 1 species
ACACCGCUGAGGAGUCCCACAAUAGGAUGAAACAGCCGUCCAGUGU